rnacentral:rRNA from 1 species
AGUGAACGCUGGCGGUAGGCCUAACACAUGCAAGUCGAACGGCAGCACAGUAAGAGCUUGCUCUUACGGGUGGCGAGUGGCGGACGGGUGAGGAAUACAUCGGAAUCUACUUUUUCGUGGGGGAUAACGUAGGGAAACUUACGCUAAUACCGCAUACGACCUACGGGUGAAAGCAGGGGAUCUUCGGACCUUGCGCGAUUGAAUGAGCCGAUGUCGGAUUAGCUAGUUGGCGUGGUAAAGGCCCACCAAGGCGACGAUCCGUAGCUGGUCUGAGAGGAUGAUCAGCCACACUGGAACUGAGACACGGUCCAGACUCCUACGGGAGGCAGCAGUGGGGAAUAUUGGACAAUGGGCGCAAGCCUGAUCCAGCCAUACCGCGUGGGUGAAGAAGGCCUUCGGGUUGUAAAGCCCUUUUGUUGGGAAAGAAAAGCAGCAGGUUAAUACCCCGCUGUUCUGACGGUACCCAAAGAAUAAGCACCGGCUAACUUCGUG